rnacentral:sRNA from 1 species
AUAGGUAGCUGCGGCGCCGACGCGGCGCUACCCCGGUCGGGCCAGAGGGUGAUGGGCAGCGACCCCCGGCGGCCUGGGAGAGCGUGGCAUCUUCCUUACUUUGUCCAUCCUCCGGACUCGCGAUCUUCCUUCCGGAGCCAUGUCAGAAGGAGUGGACUUGAUUGAUAUAUAUGCUGACGAGGAGUUCAACCAGGACCCAGAGUUCAACAAUACAGAUCAGAUUGACCUGUAUGAUGAUGUGCUGACAGCCACCUCACAGCCCUCAGAUGACAGAAGCAGCAGCACUGAGCCACCUCCUCCUGUUCGCCAGGAGCCAUCUCCCAAGCCCAACAACAAGACCCCUGCAAUUCUGUAUACCUACAGUGGCCUGCGUAAUAGACGAGCUGCCGUCUAUGUGGGCAGCUUCUCCUGGGUGAGUGUGGGUAACCAAAAAUGCUUAUGGGUGGGCUGGAGGGAGAGCACUGGGAGGUGAUGGCAUUUUCAGAAAC